UUUGUAAAAAAUCAUCAAAAUCGGAGCUAAAAUAACCGUUAAAUUGUGAUUUUUCGUUUAUAAUCGUCGAAAACUUUUGUUCCAUUACGUAAUCUCUGAAUGUUUGUUUCUUACGAUUUUUUACAUAUGAGAUCUUGGAAUGUGUACAAAUACGUUUGACGGUUGGAUCGUUGAAAUUUUUUUUGUAGAAUCCAUAUUGCGUCAAAACGAUAGAUUAAACAAACACUUGGAGUUAAUAUUAUACUUUUAUUAAGUAUAAAAUAAAUUUUUGCGGUAUCCACUAGUGUAAAUACUUUAAAUUAAAGAUCAAAUUUAUUCAUUACAUUCUUAUAGGGUCGAGGAGUGUAUCUGUAAAAAAUCAUCAAAAUCGGAGCUAAAAUAACCGUUAAAUUGUGAUUUUUCGUUUAUAAUCGUCGACAACUUUUGUUCCAUUACGUAAUCUCUGAAUAUUUGUUUUUUAUGAUUUUUUACAUAUGCGAUCUCGGAAUGUGUACAAAUAAGUUUGACGGUUGGAUCAUUGAAAAAAGUUUUGUAGAAUGCAUAUUGCGUCAAAACAGUAGAUUAAACAAACACUUAGAGUUAAUAUUAUACUACUAUUAAGUAUAAAAUAAGUUUUUGUGGUAUCCACUAUUGUAAGUACUUUAAAUUAAAGAUCAAAUUUAUUCAUUACAUUCUUAUAGGUCGAGGAGUCUAUCUGUAAAAAAGUAUCAAAAUCGGAGAUAAAAUAACCGUUAAAUUGUGAUUUUUCGUUUAUAACCGUCGAAAACUUUUGUUCCAUUACGUAAUCUCUGAAUGUUUGUUUUUUACGAUUUUUUACGUAUGCGAUCUCGGAAUGUGUACAAAUAAGUUUGACGGUUGGAUCGUUGAAAAAAAAAUCGUAGAAUGCAUAUUGUGUCAAAACGGUAGAUUAAACAAACACUUAGAGUUAAUAUUAUACUUCUAUUAAGUAUAAAAUAAGUUUUUGUGGUAUCCACUAUUGUAAAUACUUUAAAUUAAAGAUCAAAUUUAUUCAUUACAUUCUUAUAGGGUCGAGGAGUGUAUCUGUAAAAAUUCAUCAAAAUCGAAGCUAAAAUAACCGUUAAAUUGUUAUUUUUCAUUUAUAACCGUCGAAAACUUUUGUUCCGUUACGUAAUCUCUGAAUGUUUAUUUUUUAUGAUUUUUUUAAGUAUGCGAUCUCAGAAUGUGUACAAAUAAGAUUGAUGGUUGGAUCGUUGAAAAAAGUUUUGUAGAAUGCAUAUUGCGUCAAAACAGUAGAUUAAACAAACACUUAGAGUUAAUAUUAUACUUCUAUUAAGUAUAAAAUAAGUUUUUGUGGUAUCCACUAGUAUAAAUACUUUAAAUUAAAGAUCAAAGUUAUUCAUUACAUUCUUAUAGGGUCGAGGAGUGUAUUUGUAAAAAAUCAUCAAAAUCAAAGCUAAAAUAACCGUUAAAUUAUGAUUUUUCAUUUAUAACCGUCGAAAACUUUUGUUCCGUUACGUAAUCUCUGAAUGUUUGUUUUUUUAUGAUUUUUUACGUAUGCGAUCUCGGAAUGUGUACAAAUAAGUUUGAUGGUUGGAUCAUUGAACAUUUUUUUUGUAGAAUGCAUAUUGCGUCAAAACAGUACAUUAAACAAACACUUAGAGUUAAUAUUAUACUUUUAUUAAGUAUAAAAUAAGUUUUUGUGGUAUCCACUAGUGUAAUACUUUAAAUUAAAGAUCAAAUUUAUUCAUUACAUUCUUAUAGGGUCGAAGAGUGUAUCUGUAAAAAAUCAUCAAAAUCGGAGAUAAAAUAACCGUUAAAUUGUGAUUUUUCGUUUAUAACCGUCGAAAACUUUUGUUCCAUUACGUAAUCUCUGAAUGUUUGUUUUUUACAAUUUUUUUACGUAUGCGAUCUCGGAAUGUGUACAAAUAAGUUUGACGGUUGGAUCGUUGAAAAAAGUUUCGUAGAAUGCAUAUUGCGUCAAAACGGUAGAUUAAACAAACACUUAGAGUUAAUAUUAUACUUCUAUUAAGUAUAAAUAAGUUUUUGUGGUAUCCACUAGUGUAAAUACUUUAAAUUAAAGAUCAAAUUUAUUCAUUACAUUCUUAUAGGGUCGAGGAGUGUAUUUGUAAAAAAUCAUCAAAAUCGGAGCUAAAAUAACCGUUAAAUUGUGAUUUUUCAUUUAUAACCGUCGAAAACUUUUUGUUCUGUUACGUAAUAUCUGAAUGUUUGUUUUUUAUGAUUUUUUACGUAUGCGAUCUCGGAAUGUGUACAAAUAAGUUUGACGGUUGGAUCGUUGAAAAAAGUUUUGUAGAAUGCAUAUUGCGUCAAAACGGUAGAUUAAACAAACACUUAGAGUUAAUAUUAUACUUCUAUUAAGUACACUAGUGUAAAUACUUUAAAUUAAAGAUCAAAUUUAUUCAUUACAUUCUUAUAGGGUCGAGGGGUGUAUCUGUAAAAAAUCAUCAAAAUCGGAGAUAAAAUAACCGUUAAAUUGUGAUUUUUCGUUUAUAAUCGUCGAAAACUUUUGUUCCAUUACGUAAUGUCUAAAUGUUUGGUUUUUACAAUUUUUUACGUAUACAAUCUCAGAAUGUAUACAAAUAAGUUUGACGGUUGGAUCGUUGAAAAACGUUUCGUAGAAUGCAUAUUGCGUCAAAACGGUAGAUUAAACAAACACUUAGAGUUAAUAUUAUACUUCUAUUAAGUAUAAAAUACGUUUUUGUGGUAUCCACUAGUGUAAAUACUUUAAAUUAAAGAUCAAAUUUAUUCAUUACAUUCUUAUAGGGUCGAGGAGUGUAUUUGUAAAAAAUCAUCAAAAUCGGAGCUAAAAUAACCGUUAAAUUGUGAUUUUUUCAUUAUAUACCGUCGAAAACUUUUGCUCUGUUACGUAAUCUCUGAAUGUUUUUUUUUUAUGAUUUUUUACGUAUGCGAUCUCGGAAUGUGUACAAAUAAGUUUGACGGUUGGAUCGUUGAAAUUUUUUUUGUAGAAUGCAUAUUGCGUCAAAACAGUAAAUUAAACAAACACUUUAAUAUUAUACUUCUAUUAAGUAUAAAAUAAGUUUUUGUGGUAUCCACUAAUGUAAAUACUUUAAAUUAAAGAUCAAAUUUAUUCAUUACAUUCUUAUAGGUCGAGGAGUCUAUCUGUAAAAAAGUAUCAAAAUCGGAGAUAAAAUAACCGUUAAAUUGUGAUUUUUCGUUUAUAACCGUCGAAAACUUUUGUUCCAU
rnacentral:lncRNA from 1 species